rnacentral:miRNA from 1 species
GACAGAGACAGAGAGAGCACACCACCGAAGGGUGCUCAGCAAGCACUGCUCCAGCUGGGGGUGAGCCUGCCACUGGCUCUGGCCCCACCCCUUCAC